rnacentral:rRNA from 1 species
GCCCUUACGGCCAGGGCUAACACACGUGCUACAAUGUCGGUACAAAGGGUUUGCCAAGCCGCGAGGUGGAGCUAAUCCCAUAAAACCGAUCGUAGUCCGGAUCGCAGUCUGCAACUCGACUGCGUGAAGUCGGAAAUCGCUAGUAAUCGUGAAUCAGAAAUGUCACGGUGAAUACGUUCCCGGGCCUUGUACACACCGCCGUCACACCAUGGGAGUGGGUUGCUCCAGAAGUAGCUAGUCUAACCGCAAGGGGGACGGUUACCACGGAGUGAUUUCAUGACUGGGGUGAAGUCGUAACAAGGUAGCCGUAGGGGAACCUGCGGCUGGAUCACCUCCUUAAUCGA